UUCUGCCAACAGAAUGUUGCUGUGGUGCACAGAAAGCCUGACUGACCAGAGCACCCCUUUGAUAUUCUUGUUGCAAGAGGGUUCUCCUGACCCAAGGGCUCUCAGCUGAUAGGCUGCCCCUUGGCCCUGGGGGACCCAUACUUUCCUUUUUCAGUGCACAGUCUGCAAAACUGCUGCUCGGCAUCACUAGAAAUGUUCAAGCAAAUCUUUGAUGCAGUUAGUAAUUUUUUUCCACUGGCCUAUUCUUUCUAUUUUUGCCCAGAUAAAGUCUGGCUGGUGACUCACCUAGCAAGUGAAGUUGCACAUGAAUACAGAAAAGCCCAUGCUUCGGAUGACUGCCACAAUGAGAGGAAGGAACAGUUCUGUGAGAAGCCAUCACCUGCAGGACAAGGAAGAGCCUUUUGCCAAGACUUAAAGAAGAUUUGUGGGGCUAACAGGACUUAAAGAUGGAAUAGGGAAAUGAAUGAGCUUUACUAUCUGCUUUUGUCAUAAAUUUGUAGUCAUGUGCCACA